AGACUGCGUCUGAAACGUGAUGAAGUUUACGUUGACCGAGUAUGAAGAGAGAACCCGAAAAAGUAACACGGGAAAAACACGGGAAAAUGACGGAGGAAAAGAGCAACACUACGUUCAGUGAAGGAGCAGACCCUGAGCUGAGAAGAUGCGACUCGGACACUUAUCAGUGUCUGAUCUGCACAAAAAAGGGGAGCUAUGCAAAGCUUGUGUCUCAUCUGCAGGGACACCAAAGGUCAAUGGUGGAGUACGGUGGAAAGGGCCCAACAAGCCCAACAGAAGCGACGCGAGGCAUGUUGUCUGUUAACCAGUGUAAUCACAGAGGAUCAGGGCAUGCUGCAACACCUUAAAAACAUCAUCACAGGCAACACGGUGUCUCCUUGGGCCAAGAAACAGGACAGGGUCAUCCUUCUUUUUGAAGAUGAUGAACAAGUGGACAAAGUCA